rnacentral:rRNA from 1 species
UGCUAUCAAUGCUGACGAGCGGCGGACGGGUGAGUAAUGCCUGGGAAUAUGCCCUGAUGUGGGGGAUAACUAUUGGAAACGAUAGCUAAUACCGCAUAAUCUCUUCGGAGCAAAGAGGGGGACCUUCGGGCCUCUCGCGUCAGGAUUAGCCCAGGUGGGAUUAGCUUGUUGGUGGGGUAAUGGCUCACCAAGGCAACGAUCCCUAGCUGGUCUGAGAGGAUGAUCAGCCACACUGGAACUGAGACACGGUCCAGACUCCUACGGGAGGCAGCAGUGGGGAAUAUUGCACAAUGGGGGAAACCCUGAUGCAGCCAUGCCGCGUGUAUGAAGAAGGCCUUCGGGUUGUAAAGUACUUUCAGUUGUGAGGAAGGCGUUAAAGUUAAUAGCUUUGCUGUUUGACGUUAGCAACAGAAGAAGCACCGGCUAACUCCGUGCCAGCAGCCGCGGUAAUACGGAGGGUGCGAGCGUUAAUCGGAAUUACUGGGCGUAAAGCGCAUGCAGGUGGUUUGUUAAGCAAGAUGUGAAAGCCCGGGGCUCAACCUCGGAACAGCAUUUUGAACUGGCAGACUAGAGUACUGUAGAGGGGGGUAGAAUUUCAGG